rnacentral:rRNA from 1 species
GAGAGGAGCUUGCUCUUCGAUUCGGCGGCGGACGGGUGAGUAAUGCCUAGGAAUCUGCCUAGUAGUGGGGGACAACGUUUCGAAAGGAACGCUAAUACCGCAUACGUCCUACGGGAGAAAGUGGGGGAUCUUCGGACCUCACGCUAUUAGAUGAGCCUAGGUCGGAUUAGCUAGUUGGUAGGGUAAAGGCCUACCAAGGCGACGAUCCGUAACUGGUCUGAGAGGAUGAUCAGUCACACUGGAACUGAGACACGGUCCAGACUCCUACGGGAGGCAGCAGUGGGGAAUAUUGGACAAUGGGCGAAAGCCUGAUCCAGCCAUGCCGCGUGUGUGAAGAAGGCCUUCGGGUCGUAAAGCACUUUAAGUUGGGAGGAAGGGCUCAUAGCGAAUACCUGUGAGUUUUGACGUUACCAACAGAAUAAGCACCGGCUAACUUCGUGCCAGCAGCCGCGGUAAUACGAAGGGUGCAAGCGUUAAUCGGAAUUACUGGGCGUAAAGCGCGCGUAGGUGGCUUGAUAAGUUGGAUGUGAAAUCCCCGGGCUCAACCUGGGAACUGCAUCCAAAACUGUCUGGCUAGAGUGCGGUAGAGGGUAGUGGAAUUUCCAGUGUAGCGGUGAAAUGCGUAGAUAUUGGAAGGAACACCAGUGGCGAA